GACGAACCGUGCGAACGUUGUUCGGAAUCACUGGGCUUAAAGGGCGCGUAGGCGGUCUGCCAAGUCCGGGGUGAAAGCCCCCAGCUCAACUGGGGAAGUGCCUCGGAUACUGGCGGACUUGAGGGAGGCAGGGGUUGUGGGAACUUCCGGUGGAGCGGUGAAAUGCGUUGAUAUCGGAAGGAACGCCGGUGGCGAAAGCGCACAACUGGUCCUCUUCUGACGCUGAGGCGCGAAAGCCAGGGGAGCAAACGGG
rnacentral:rRNA from 1 species